UAUUUUUUCAUUGUAACCGACUUGGACUCUACCUGAGACCUGGGUUCCUGCCUAUAUGAAGGACCAAGAGGGGGAGCCAAGGGCACCCCAACCUAGAUAGAAGCCGCCUAGACGCACUCGCCAGAUCGAAUCUGUGCAUCUAGCCUCUUCGGCAACCAUUUGUAAUCGACUCAUCAAUACCAGAUCAGACAAGCAGGACGAAGGGGUAUUACCUUCCGAGGGCUCUGAACUUAGGUAAAUCGUGUUCCCUAUGUCCUUGUUAGCCGACAAGUUCGCCAACACAUACACUCAAAAUCUUUCCUAGAUAUAAGUCCACCAAUAUGGACAUUGUCGAAGUCCCAACUUCGUCAGCGGCCAGAGCAUGAGAAUAAUGGGGGAGAAAGGAAAAUAAAAAUAAAAAUAAGGAGGGGCAGGGUGAAAACAUGGGGCGGAUAAAAAUGGUCUUACGUGUUGGUACAAUUUGUCGGAUUUGCUGUCAAAUUCUCUG
rnacentral:lncRNA from 1 species